rnacentral:rRNA from 1 species
GGAAUAUUGGGCAAUGGAGGAAACUCUGACCCAGCAACGCCGCGUGAAGGAAGAAGGUCCUCGGAUUGUAAACUUCUGUUAUUAGGGAAGAAGAUAGUGACGGUACCUAAUGAGUAAGCCCCGGCUAACUACGUGCCAGCAGCCGCGGUAAUACGUAGGGGGCAAGCGUUGUCCGGAUUGACUGGGCGUAAAGGGAGCGUAGGCGGUUUGGUAAGUCAAAUGUGAAAGCCCGCGGCUUAACUGCGGAACUGCAUUUGAUACUGCUAAGCUUGAGUUCAGGAGAGGUAAGUAGAAUUCCUAGUGUAGCGGUGGAAUGCGUAGAUAUUAGGAGGAAUACCAGUGGCGAAGGCGGCUUGCUGGAAUGACACUGACGCUGAGGCUCGAAAGCGUGGGGAGCAAACA